rnacentral:rRNA from 1 species
UACGUAGGGUGCGAGCGUUGUCCGGAAUUAUUGGGCGUAAAGGGCUCGUAGGCGGUUUGUCGCGUCGGGAGUGAAAACUCAGGGCUUAACCCUGAGCCUGCUUCCAAUACGGGCAGACUAGAGGUAUGCAGGGGAGAACGGAAUUCCUGGUGUAGCGGUGGAAAUGCGCAGAUAUCAGGAGGAACACCGGUGGCGAAGGCGGUUCUCUGGGCAUUACCUGACGCUGAGGAGCGAAAGUGUGGGAGCGAACAGG